UACAGAGUUCUCAAGCGUUGUUCGGAUUCAUUGGGCGUCAAGGGUGCGUAGGUGGCGCGCUAAGUCAGGUGUGAAAUUUCGGAGCUUAACUCCGAAACUGCAUUUGAUACUGGCGUGCUUGAGGACUGGAGAGGAGACUGGAAUUCAUGGUGUAGCAGUGAAAUGCGUAGAGAUCAUGAGGAAGACCAGUGGCGAAGGCGGGUCUCUGGACAGUUCCUGACACUGAGGCACGAAGGCCAGGGGAGCAAACGGG
rnacentral:rRNA from 1 species